GUUUGUUCAGAAUAUUUUUUUUUCUGGGUUUCCUCCUCUAAAAACUAGGUGCGUCUUAUGGUGAGGUGCGUCUUAUGGAGCGAAAAAUACGGUAUUUACGAAAGAGAAAGACAGACAACUACUAACUAACCCUAAUGAUGUCCAUAAUUGGCUGCAGCUCAUCUGUCUGAACAGACCUCGAACACUUCACUGCGCAGGUAUCCCGCAGUGGCUAACGCACUACAUCUCCCACGUCAAUACUUCUGCCCGUAGAGAUAGACGCUAUCCCUAUGCUGUCCCUAUUUGGAAGUAAUUGUCUGUUUGAGGUGGUGGGACUGUGUGUGUGUGGGGUGUCACAGUCCAUGUCGUCAGUAUCCUGAUGUAGGAAUGUAGGUGUAGUGCAGUCAAUAGUCUGAUCUACAGUCUUCUGUAAAUAUUUCUGCACGCAGGGCAUCACACAGCAAGUGAGGAAGAGAAAGAGAAUUACCACAAUAAGGACUGCCAUAUCUACUUGAAAGAGAGUUUUCUGCCACCCACUCAUCCAUCCAAACCAUUUGUCCCAUGAAUUGGGGACUCCCGAGUUCCUUUUUAAUUCGUCAGAAAGACUUUCUAAUUUCUCUAUGACCAUGGUUACCUUACCGUUGGGGCCUGUAUUGUCUGGGAUGAAGGUACAGCAUGUCAUAGUAUUGGGAGUAUUUUACACACGCCCUCCUUUUCUGCUAGGAUUAUAUAUAAGGCCAUUCGAUUCUGAAAUGUCAUUUGGGAGGUAGUCUGUAAUUGUUCUGCUAAGCACUGAAGGG